UUACGUCACAGCGCCGCGACUCGGCCUGUCCCAAUUCGAAGACUCCUUCAAAUGCGGUCGACGAAUGCGGCCUUCUUUUCGCCUGAAUGAAGGAUGGGUCGGGUGUAUCCUUCAAUAGGUAGCAUUUCCCAAGAUGCCUUGCGGGCCGGCCGGCAGAAAAACUUAAAAACAAUGGCGGACAGUGAAGCGGGAGCUGUCGGAGAGGAUUGCGCAUAUAAAUGACCAAAAGAGAAAACCAGGGAAUUUAUUAAGCUUAGGGCGGAGAUGGACCACAUGAUCACCGGAGCAAAGUAUUCGGCGGCUGUGGCAUGGAGACUAUUCUGGAGAAAAUGGGCAUCCAGGGGAAGGUGCCAGCGAUGAGCUUCUGGAGCUGAUCUGGGAGGACAUGAGGCUGCAGAGCAGCAGAGAGCACAGGAGAGAAGGAAGAACUUUGACAGCUUUUUACUUUGCUAGAAAAAAAUGGUUAAUGAAGAUUAAACAUGUACAUGUAAAAGAAAUAUCUAAAUAAAAUCAGUUCUGCAUUAAA